AUACGUAGGGAGCAAGCGUUAUCCGGAAUUACUGGGUGUAAAGGGUGUGUAGGCGGGAUUACAAGUCAGAUGUGAAAACUGUGGGCUCAACUCACAGAUUGCAUUUGAAACUGUAGUUCUUGAGUGAAGUAGAGGUAAGUGGAAUUCCUAGUGUAGCGGUGAAAUGCGUAGAUAUUAGGAGGAACAUCAGUGGCGAAGGCGACUUACUGGGCUUUAACUGACGCUGAGGCUCGAAAGCGGUGGGGAGC
rnacentral:rRNA from 1 species